rnacentral:lncRNA from 10 species
GAGACAGAAAAAUCAGUUAGUAGAAAAACCAGAAUGCAAGCAAUUGUAGUCAGAAAGAGGUUGUCAUGGAAACGAAUGGGAACUGCUCAAGCUUGGCAAUUUUAUAGGAAGAACCGUGAAGUCAAGAAGGAUUUAUUUUCACAUUCAGCCCUGGGUGAACCACAGUCCCAUUUUUUAAUCCCAGGAUAGAAAUUUAUGAAACCAAUUUGAGAUAAGUAGGGCAAUCGACAGGCAGAUAGAACUCAUGGACAAAACAUAGAAGCAAAGGAAUAAUCUUAGCAUGCUGGAACAGAUUUUUUUCUGAAGUGUAUUUCAACCUUUCAGUUGGUUUAAGAGUUGGGAAACAUGCUUGCAUGCAGGGAUUAUUUUUUAAACAUGCCAACAGCAGUGAAAGCAGAAUCAGCCAUAGGUAAAGUACUUAAAGGAAAAAAAAAUGCCUCUGGGAUAUCUCAUGAAUUAAUUCAUAAACAAUCUUUGCCUUGCAGACCUCUACCAUUUUUGAAAGCCCAGGAAUUUCUUAAUAUAUGACAGUUGGCAGAGGUAGUGAUAAGAAAGAUUAGCAAAGCUCCAAACCAGAAACAAUCUCUUGGCUCCAAAUAGUCUCAUAUUUUAAAAAUUGAAAUUAAACCUAGUUGGAGGAAAUCAGCCAUAGUGAUUUUUCAGUGCCCAGGGAGUGGGAAAGUAACAUGACAUUCUCUACCACCAGAUGUAGGGUAUUUGGCCUUUUUCCUUUGUUGAAAAAUAUUAAAUGCUAAACCAUCAUUUUAAACCUCAAAGACUUUUCCUUCUUCUGUGAUGUAACCUUUCUGUAAACUCUGGCCAUCCCUGCCAUGUUUCACCCUGGAACACCCAAGCUUUUACUUGAAAAACAGGCAAGACUCUCAUUCUGGGGCAGGAAUAAUGACAUUCAAACAGCUUUAACACCAAGGAUUGUUGGGAGCUGUCACAUGCAGUUAGCUGAGAAAUACAACUCAUCCUGACGAGUCAGGUAAUGACAUGAAGCACAGGCAGCCACUCACUCUGACCAGACACCUGAAGCCAUUGACUCAUGUACAGGACACAUUAAGCCUCAUCUCUGCUAACAGAUUUACUUACCCGAUGAUAACAACUUUCUGCAGCAGUCAGAGUGAGCAUUUAGGGCAGCUAAAUGUAAAGGGAACAUGCUAUGGAUUCCACACCUGAGGAGUAAGAAAACAGAGCAACUCACGGCAACAGAUCUCAAGAUACAUGCGGAAGGACAAUUACCUUUCUAGAUUCUCUGAUGAAAAUUAACAACACCUUGUGUAGGGAGUCUUGGCUGAAAUAAUUUGGUAAUUCUUCCAUUCAAUAAAUAAUUAUGCAAUCAGUUUCUACCUUAAAAUAAUAAAUGCCUGAAUCAAAACCAUAAUUAAAAGCCCAUUACCAUAGGAAUGUAUAUUUUUAAGAAAAUCUGUUUCACAUAAAGCAUGACUCCUUAAAUGUAAAAUUAAUUUCCCUGUCAUUUUCUUUCAGCUUGGUGAUUGUAUGUCUCAUUCUCUCAUUCAUCUAUUCAACACUUUCUAAGCAUCAUAGACUAUGCUAAGGGCUGGAUAUAACAAUACUGAGCAAGACAAACUCAAGUUUGAAAAGCAACCUGUUUCCUUUCUUUUUUUUCUUUUCACUUUUUUUUUUUUUUUUGAGACAGAGUCUCACCUGUCACCCAGGCUGGAGUGCAGUGGUGCUGAUACAAUGAUAGAGGCAGGGGGCAGAGAAAUUCUAGGCAGAAAAGGGCAGGUUCUGAGCAAAACCCCACUCUCAAGCUGAAAAGCCUGAAACUGUGCCCCAAAGUGAGAACUUAUAUCCCUGUUUUCCCACUCAAAUGUUGCCUUUUCCUAAACUACCCAUGGCCCUCCCCCACCAAAUCCUGUGCCUAUAAAAAUCCCAGACUCAGCUAGUAGACAGGACUAUGGCUGAACGUCAGAGAGAAGCAGCUUGAUUUGAGAGAGACAGUUUGAUGGCAUAACUUCAGAGGAGAAUCUGGCCAGAGACAGCUGGACUUCAGGGGAAGAUUAUCUACCCAUCCCAUCCCCUUUUCAGCUCCCCUUCCUGCUGAGAGCCACUUUCAUUGGCAAUAAAAUCCCCUGUGUUUACCAUCCUUCAAUUUGUUCAUGAGACCUCAUUUUUCCUGGAUGCCAAGCAAGAGCUCAGGAACCACAAGUGCAGAUAUAAAAGGCUGUCACGCUGGCCCUUUGCCCUCGCUGGCGGAGGGCAGCUGCCUUAUGCAAAAAGGCAAAGGGCCCACUGAGCUGUUAACAUUUAAGCCAACCGUGGACGGCAGACAUCAAAGCGCACUGUAACAUGCCCUCAGGGGGCUUUGGGAGUUGCAGGCACCCCCGCCUGGAUGCUGCUGCAGAGCCUGCACAGAGUUCACUCCUGCCCGUGCCAAAGCAGCCAGCUGGUUCCAGCACUCACUCACCCCAGUUCCCAUGCUCAUUUGCUCAGGCGUUCCUUCCAGCAAGGAGUUGAGAGUGGCAGGCUGAGUAAACAAGGUACCCCUGUCUCAAGUCCCACAAAGGGGUCAGGGAAAUAUCCUGCUUCAGUGUAAUCACAGUACACUGCAGCUUUGACCUCCUUGGGCUCAGGUGAUCCUCCCACUUCAGCCUCCUGAGUAGCUCGGACCACCACAGGCGCACAUCACUAUACCCAGCUAAUUUUUUGGUGUAUUUUGUAGAGACAGGGUUUUGCCAUGUUGUCCAGGCUGGUCUCAAACUCCUGGGCUCAAGCAAUCCACCUACCUUGGCCUCCCAAAGUGCUAUGAUUACAAGCAUGAGCCACCACGCUCAGUCCUUGUUUUAUUUCUUGAUUUGAUAAACAAAUAUUAUUGUGGUAUUAUGUCCCAAGCACUUUGCUAGGAGUUAAUAAUGGCUAUAUUGUUGAAAAUAAAGUUUUGGAUAAGAAUAAAAACUAAUGUUUGCCUUUUGCUGAUCAAACUUCAUCUUCCUAAUAGAUUUUUACAUUGCACAUUAACCCACAUCACAAUACCAGUCACAAAAACACAAUUGGAGGUAAUAAACAUUACUUUGCAUAUAUUUCAUAAAUCUAGUAGUAUUUAAGAGAAAAUCUAGAAAAGGACUUUAUAGACCGACCCCCACUAAGACACAGUCACCAGGAUGACCCCUUAAGGGACAGACGUCUUCUGUCGGCAGCACUUUUUGCCUUCGGGAUUAAAUGCUCCUCCUCUUCCCUACUACAUCUUCUUCAGCAAGGACCCAAAGCCAUGUGCUGAAUUGUGGCUCAUAAUAAACAGCAUCACCAGGUGGCUCCUGUGUACUUGUAAGCAUCUAUAAUGUUAGUGACCACUUCUCAUAACAUCUUAUUUUAAUCAAAUAAUACAUUUCAGCCUUUUAAAAUCUUCUGCAUAAUACAAGCAAGUAUGGGACUAUAUCUGUUUACACCCUACAGCAUUAAUUACCUAAGUCUCCUCUCUGGCACAAAGUGGCCCGUUUUCAGACUCCAUGCUUCAUAAAGAAACACAUAUGAUUUGAAUUUGUUAAGCUUUGGGUACAUACAUUUUAUUUACCAUCUCAAAAGUUAUUAUGAUGAUGUGUGUGUGACUGUGAAAAAGGAUAUACACAUUCACAGACAUUUCAUGGUAUUCAGGGUUUUGCAAAAUUCAAUUCUGACAGCAAUUAACCACUGUUUUCUCUUUCCAUAAUAGCUUCUUCCUAUUUAACGGUGGUUUUAUUCGGUCUUCCCUCUGUUUGUUUUCCUUUCCCUAUAUGGAGAUUCCAGCCCAGUGUGUAUAACAGCUGGCAUCCAUCAAGUGAUGCAAUUUGCUCAUCUUCCAGGCAGCAUCAUGUGGAGGAGAACUGCUUGUAAUUGCCUCGCUCAUCAUUUACCAAAAAAAAAUUCUGAAAUGCAAUUGCAUCAGUGAUGACCUUGAUGCUCUUGAACGGGCAGAGGGAGUUGGGGGAUAGGAGAGAAGCUUUUCUGCUUAUGCUAUUAUUUAUAUUGUUCCCUCUUGAUUCAAGAGAAACAUUCUUUUUUUUCAAUGCAUAACAUGUUUUAAAACCUCCUUAUAAAAUGGCACUUAAAGCUAAUGUGAUUUUACCUAAUCAUUUUAUUUGUUUUGGGAAUUUAAGGCAAAACUAUGUGAUUAAAUAUAUCUGGACAUUUAGAAGAGGAAAAUGGAUAGAAUAUUUUCAUUCCUGAAAGAAUAUGCCUGGAAUCAAGGACUGGAUUUCUCAAGAUUUCUUUGAGCCUCCCUCAUUCUUUAAAUACAUACAAACACACACACACACACACACACACAUAUGUUCAUAUACACGCAUAAAUAAAAAUAUAUAUACACAUAAUAUAUAUACAAUAUAGUUUAUAAAGUUCCAUAUGUAUCUUUAUGUAAAAUAAUACAAGCAAAUGAAUUUGAGGAAAUAGCAUCAAACUCUAUAAGAAACCAAUUGGGAAAAACAAAAAGUAUAAGUGGUAGUAUAACAGCAACAAUAUGAUAUAUUCCAUAAACCUCAUUAUCAAUAUUUCCAAUCAAUCUUGCCACUUAAAACCCAUCUUUGUAUAAUUCAUCAAACUCUACAUUCGCUGAUUUUUUUUCACUGCUCCUUACAAACCUGAGAAGAUGAAAGAGAUAGAACUACUCUGAUUUAAAAGGUCUAGUAAAAUUUGUUUGAUAUAUAUUUUUUACUCCACAGUGAAUAAAAAGUUACUACUUCAGUGCAGGAUUUGAAAACAGAUUCGCAUAGACUCAAAUACUAUUGGCAUUUGCGCUUGCAUAUGAAACUAUGGUUCAAAUAGUAAAACUAAGUUUCAAGUCAAGAUUGGAAAUAAAAGAAAAGCAGAAUUCAGUGUCUCUGAAUCAAUUCAGGAAUGAUUUAUGUAUUUCAAAAUAAAAUUACUACCUUAUUUUAUAAAAUAAGACUGCUCACAAAGGAAGGAUUAUAAAACCUUUAGCAGGAAAAUUAGGACUUGGCUGUCUUAGCCAAUUAAGAAGCAUCACUCUUACUUCAUCAGGUAUACAUCAAGGAAGAUCAAUAAUGAAGGUGCCAAAUCACACUAAACUUAACAAUGCAUAAGUUACAGGAAAGAGGAGACCAAUUUCGUUAAAUUGCCACAUUUAUUUGACCAGUCAUUGAAUUAAUGGAACACAUUUAUAUUAGCUAGUUCUAAUUUAGCUGUUAGUUGGCAUCUCCUACCCAGUUAUUUCAGAAUAAAUGAGGUCUGCAGGCCUGUCUUGCAGAGAGCUAUUAGAAAUGAAGAAAGAGCCUUCACACGAUUAGAAUUUGGGGUCUUUGAAGCUUUCCCCUUGGCAUCAGAGAGAUGUGGCUGCCCUCCCUACAUCCAGUCUUUUCUGAGCCUUCUCUUUAGGCCAUGUGGGUAAAGAAUACAUGAUUAAAGUGACAGAGUCAGAAACUUGGGGUUUAAGUCCUCAUUUUGCCACUUGCUAUCUACUUCACCUUUGGCAAGUGCAUAACGGUUCCCUCCUCAGGAAAAUAAGACAAUUACAGUGACUCUAUCAUGGAGCAACUGUAAGGACCCAUUGAGAUAAUGUUCAUGUAGUGCUAAAAUGGAGCAUCACGCACAUGGAAAUCCUUUACCAUACAUGUUAGUAUGAUUGUUGCCCUUGCAAUUCAUAUAAGGUUAAUUGGUAAUCAGCAGUACAUGAGUUUUGAAGUUGUAAUCAGGUUGUACUUCCUUAAAAUCAGUUGUAUGAUUCCUUAAAAGCCAAGAAUGAAUCAUGAUCGGUUAACAUUUCUGUUAUCUUUCUGUGUGUCUAAAUUCUUUAUAAUAUUUACCUCACAAGUGUCCCAGCAAAGUGGGAUUGGUUUAGCUUUGCUCACUGAGAGGAUGAGACAAAAACAUUUCUUAAAUUUAGAAUAGGAUGAUUUUAUGAUGUUUUACCCAAAUGAUCAAUCCAAGUAAACAAACCAAUUUCUUAUGAAUUUUAUCUAUGCAAUUCCAAGUAUUUAUUAUGCACCCUUAAGUGACAGCCAUGAGACCUGGUCCUUGUUAUUUGCAACGAACAGAUGUUUUCAGUGGUUCCUUUUGAAUCAAGUUUAAACACGCUAAAGUGGUUCAAGAGGCCCCUUCUCGAUCUGGCUGUUGUCUAAUCUGAAUAUUCUAGAAUCUCAAUAAACUUGUUUCCAUUCCUCUAAGUGCCAGGCUCUGUCCUGCCCCCAGGCCUUUGCACAUACCAGUCCCUCCACCUGAAACUCUCUUAUCUUUCUCUCCUGUUUCUCCCAUUAUUUCUCCAACUAAUCAGUGCAUCUCCGAAGUACUGGAAAUAUCUUUGGGAUCUCAAGAGUUCUCUGUGAGAAUUUUUAACCUGUCUUUUCCUUUCUAUGAUAAUCUAAAACAACUGGCAUAAAAGCAUUUUUUUUGACUCAUCGGAGUGGCCCUUUAUCACCACAUACCUCUGCCUAAUUUCAGUGUCCAUGUUUGUACUGAGGAUCACAUUGGUGUUUGUGUAGUACUGGCAUGGGCCAGUGAGAAAAGAAUAAAGAUGGGCUCAAUGGACAAGUGAUAAGGCUGAACCUAGGGAGGGCCAAUGAUAAUCCAGUACCUGAGCCUUCCAUAUAAACAAAAUUUGGCAGUAGCUUGAAGAAGGGGCUCUGUGCUGCAUGCCAAGUCCACUGUUCCACCACUUUAAGCCACUGCAAAACCUCCAUUCUUGCAGUGUAUAUUGAACUCUAAAGAGCCUGCACCUCAGCCACCAGGACCAUAAUCCUACACAAAUGGUGACUUCACUUUGGCAAAAUGUGAACCAUCACAUCAUCUGCUAUGUAGAGGCAGCAAGCCACUUGCUCAGGAGCUGAGGGUCCAGAUCCAGUAGACUGAAGAUGAGUCCCAUUUCUAUCCCUUACUGGCUUUGUGACUUUGAGCAGGUAACUGAACCUCUCCGUGCCUCACUUACUUCACCUGCAAGAUGGGAAUAAUCAUAGCACUUACCUCAUGAGGUUAUGGUGAAAGUUAAAUGUAACCCCUCAGAGCAGUGCCCAGAGGGAAGCACUCAUAAUGUUUGCUACUACUAAAUUGUGCAGUUAACAUGAAUGGUGUUGGUUUCUGUUUGCAUGUAUUUUGUAAUUUUUUAAAAUAUUAAUUUGCUAGCGUCAAAAGCCUAAGGAGUUCAUCUAGUUUAUGUUUAUACAUAUUCAUGUAUCAUUAUGAUAAAAAUAAGUAUAUACUGAGGAUCUAAAAGACUCUUGCUACCAUGAGCUAACUGCUAGUCAUCCUUCAGUCUUGGUUAAACCUUUACAUCUUGCUUCUCUAGUCUUGUGAGACUGGGUUCCACAUCUUAGAUAUUUUUCACACAUCCCAGUGGCACCCAGCAAUCGCUCUGGCAUCACACUUAGCAUGCAUGAUUGUAUUGCUUGUUUAAAUCUUGCUCCCAGGGGAUCAUAAAUUCCUCAAGGGCAGGGACCUCUAUAAUCCCAGAACCUGGCAUCAUAGGUACCACUUAGGCCCUCAACCAAUAUUUAAUGAAUGAAUGAAUGUCAGAGCCAGUUAUUCAUAAACUAUAAUACCCCUAAUUCUGCUGUUGAGGCAGAAAAAGAAUGCAUAAUUGGUAAGGAAAUAGGCAAAUUAAAAUCCUCGAGACAAUCCGCAAACUAACAAAAUUAAAGAAGAUAAACCAAAGGGCUUUGACAUCACGUAAAGUUGCAUGAGCACUGAAUCAAACCGUAGGAAGCUGCUCUGACUUAAAGUUCAGAGAAGCAAAAAGAAUAACAAAGAACAUUCUAAUCAAGGGCUGACAUUUAUUUCAGAUUCAAAUAAAUUCGUAAGAAAGUAAUAAUGAUAAAACUUGUCAUAUAGAGUUAAUUUAAAUACAUUUGGCUAUAUUGCUUAUGAAUGAAAAUGGGUUCUUUUCACAAAUGCUAUUUGUUUUUUCACUUAUCUAUGAAAGGCCUAUUUUUCUCCUCUUUAAUAAUCCUAUAAGGAACCCAGAUAACAGUGAUUUUCUGAGAGGCUUUUGGCAAAUUUAAUCUUCUCCAAUUACUCUUCCCUUCACUUUGAUAUUUUGCCCUAGGGUCGUUUCCAUUCUCCCACACACACAAACACACAAAGGCACUUACACACACACAUACAAUCACUGCCCUAAGGAACCAUUGUCACUGAAGGUAGCAUGUCGCAUCCCCAGAUAGUUGUGACAAAGAAAGCAGACAUGGCUCUUUCAGGCUGAGACAAUGUUUCCCUCAUCUGUGUCCCUAAGACAUAGCAGAGACAAUGGAAGAAAAUGCUACUUGAACAACAAUGCUAUUUUUAAGGCACUUUUGCUACAUGGUCUGUGUUUCCAUAAAUUGAAAGCAAAAUAAUUACAUGGAAAUAAAUUUCCAUCAUAUUGAAUUAAAUGGUUUUUAGGGAAAAAUUUUAAGUAACCAUUGGGUCCAGCUUAUUUUUAUUCCUAAAAUGGAUUCAAGUCUGGAAGAAAAUCAGAAAUUCAUGAUUGUUUGGCUAAAAUUUCCCAAGUAACCCAAAGCUGAAAAAAAAUACCACUGAAAAUAUUAACACAUUACAGGUAAAGUCAGUUGGUGCCUAAAUAUUUAUUUUUCUGCUUAAUUAACACUGAGCAUUUAUUAUCUCUAUCUUUGGGCAUCUACGAUCUGGUUCAGAACUCCAGAACCUGGUAAGAGCGUACUGAAUCUUAGUGUAGAGCUCUUUCCACAAAACUGAGAGGCUUAUUUUAACUUACGACAUCCCAAUUAAAAAGUUCUUUUGGCUCACAGCAGAUUCCCCUCUCUUCUGUAAAAAGACAUCCCACUGCUAAUACUAUUUGUCAGCAUUCUCCUCUUCUGUCAUCCCUCAGCCUCAUCUUUAGCCCAAGACCUCAUCUUUUCUUCCCUGGACAUUUGCAAGAGGCUGCCAAGUGUUUGUAGCCUGGACUGCCUCCAGUACGUCUGGACCGCCUGCAGUAUGUCUGGACUGCUAUCAGAGCGAACUUUCUUACACACAAAUGGGAUCAUUAGACACAACCUGUUCUACGCCCACUUAGAAUUCUUUAACAGCUUCCGAAUGACUCAGAGUGGAAUGUAAUUCUUUAGCAGGACUUGCGAAGCCCUUUGAGAUGUGGCUCUUCCAGCCUUUCCUCCUCAUUUCUUUCCACUCCACCCACCAAACAUCCAAUGACCCAGCUUUAGAAAUGUGCUUUUAACAGGUUCACAUGUUUAUGUCUUUAUAACGACUGUUCCCUCUUCUUGGGAUAUCCUUCCUUUCUCCCAUUUCUCUUUCUACCCCAUAAUUAUGUCCAUCUAGCAAACUCCUAUAUAUCCUUCCUUUUGUUACAAUGUCAUCUUUUCUGGGGGAUCCAGAAAAUUAGUAUCUCUCUCACUCUGUUCCCACAGCCUGGUCCAAACAUCCAUCUUAACAAAUUUCACAAUACUCAGUAAUUUGUGCUUGUUCUUAUCUCUACCACUAGACUGGGAGGUGUUUGGAACCCAGUUCAACUUAAGAUGUUGGACAGAUGAAGAUAAACCAUUAUAUCCUACCAAUCUACCAGAGUGCUUCACAAAAUUCAUUUUAAGUCCAGAACACCUGCCCUCUGUGAAUCUGAUUUCAUGAUCCCACUGCGUCUUCCCCAGGCCAUUUCAAUUUUAGCUCAUUCUCAUACAAGACUUUCAAUGAUGUUGCAGAAAAUUAACAAAUAAAAUUCCUAAGAUACACUGCUUUCAUAAGGUUUUUCUUCUAAAAAUUUAGUUAUUGUUACAGACUCUGAUCAAGGCUAAACUCUUUAUUCAGGCAUUGAAGGCCCUCUUUAAUUUAGUUCUACUACCUAUUAUUAAAUAAUAAAAUAAUAGUUAACAUAUAUUGAUAGCUCACUACGUGCCAGGCACUGUUCAAAGAGCUUUUAACAUGCGUUAUCUUUUUAAUAACCUUAGGAGGUGUAUUUAUAGAACUCAUAUAGAUCUUACCAGAUACCAAAGAGCUUUACUAGUAAUUAAGUCACUUAAUCCUCAUAACAAACCUACAGAUAAGUACUAGUAUUACUAGUAUUACUACAAUAUUUCCAAUUAGGCAAGGGGCUCAAAGUCACAUAGCUCACAAGGGAAGCAGCUUGGAUUGGCAUCAAGGGAGCACCCACCAAAGCCUGGGCUCCCAACCACCCUGGGUCCUGCCCCUCGGUGGUGCACAGCAUCAUCACAUUCUCUACUCUGUCAGGCCAAGCUCUUCCCUGGUGUGGAGUCUUUGCCUCUUUUGUUCCCGCUUUCCUCCCUGCUUGGGAUGGUUGCCACCCUCUGCUGUACUCAGAUAAUUCUCAGCCCCUAAAGCCUAGCUAAAAUUCAUCUUCUCCUUGAAGCCUUUUCAGAAAACACUGGCCACCUUUGAGCUCUCUCCUCCCUGUCUAUAUUCUGUGACACAGAUUGUCUACACCAAACAUUUGCCACUUAAGUCUGUUUCAUUUAGAACUUUAUGAUAUAUGAUCUUGCAUGGUUCUUUGACUUAAGUGGGUCUUGGGCCCUGAACAAAAUUAUGAGCGCCUUGAAACUAGGUAACUUACAUCUUCUGAAAUCUCCCAUAGCACCCAGCAUAGAUGCUUUAUGUAUUUUUGUGGAAUUGAAGUUCAAAAUGAAGUCAGGUUCCCCCUUCCCUACAUAGCAGAUUGACUCAAUUGUACUCUAUAACCAUAUCAUUAAAGCUGAGCAAGCAAUCUGAAUACAUUCUAAAUUGGCUCAGUUAGGUUUUAUUUUUCCUGUUUAAUAUGAAGCAUUGGGAAGGACAGAAGAAU